UACGGGGGGAGCAAGCGUUGUUCGGAUUUACUGGGCGUAAAGGGCGCGUAGGCGGUCGUGACAAGUCACUUGUGAAAUCUCCGGGCUUAACUCGGAACGGUCAAGUGAUACUGUCGGACUAGAGUACAGAAGGGGCAACUGGAAUUCUCGGUGUAGCGGUGAAAUGCGUAGAUAUCGAGAGGAACACCUGCGGCGAAGGCGGGUUGCUGGGCUGAUACUGACGCUGAGGCGCGAAAGCGUGGGGAGCAAACAGG
rnacentral:rRNA from 1 species